rnacentral:rRNA from 1 species
AGACCCGAAACCCGGUGAUCUAGCCAUGGGCAGGUUGAAGGUUGGGUAACACUAACUGGAGGACCGAACCGACUAAUGUUGAAAAAUUAGCGGAUGACCUGUGGCUGGGGGUGAAAGGCCAAUCAAACCGGGAGAUAGCUGGUUCUCCCCGAAAGCUAUUUAGGUAGCGCCUCGUGAAUUCAUCUCCGGGGGUAGAGCACUGUUUCGGCUAGGGGGCCAUCCCGGCUUACCAACCCGAUGCAAACUGCGAAUACCGGAGAAUGUUAUCACGGGAGACACACGGCGGGUGCUAACGUCCGUCGUGAAGAGGGAAACAACCCAGACCGCCAGCUAAGGUCCCAAAGUCAUGGUUAAGUGGGAAACGAUGUGGGAAGGCCCAGACAGCCAGGAUGUUGGCUUAGAAGCAGCCAUCAUUUAAAGAAAGCGUAAUAGCUCACUGGUCGAGUCGGCCUGCGCGGAAGAUGUAACGGGGCUAAACCAUGCACCGAAGCUGCGGCAGCGAACGUAUCACCCAAGACAACUUUACGGAGUUGACGAUUGACGGAGCGAAGCGACGUCAAAGCGUUCAUUAAAGUCGAGUUGGCUUAGGGAUACGUUCGUUGGGUAGGGGAGCGUUCUGUAAGCCUGUGAAGGUGUGUCGUGAGGCAUGCUGGAGGUAUCAGAAGUGCGAAUGCUGACAUAAGUAACGAUAAAGCGGGUGAAAAGCCCGCUCGCCGGAAGACCAAGGGUUCCUGUCCAACGUUAAUCGGGGCAGGGUGAGUCGACCCCUAAGGCGAGGCCGAAAGGCGUAGUCGAUGGGAAACGGGUUAAUAUUCCCGUACUUGGUGUUACUGCGAAGGGGGGACGGAGAAGGCUAUGUUGGCCGGGCGACGGUUGUCCCGGUUUAAGCGUGUAGGUGUGUGUUCCAGGUAAAUCCGGUUCACUUUAACACUGAGGCGUGACGACGAGGCACUACGGUGCUGAAGCAACAAAUGCCCUGCUUCCAGGAAAAGCCUCUAAGCAUCAGGUAACACGAAAUCGUACCCCAAACCG